UACGAAGGGGGCUAGCGUUGCUCGGAAUCACUGGGCGUAAAGGGUGCGUAGGCGGGUUUUUAAGUCAGAGGUGAAAUCCUGGAGCUCAACUCCAGAACUGCCUUUGAUACUGAGAAUCUUGAGUAUGGGAGAGGUGAGUGGAACUGCGAGUGUAGAGGUGAAAUUCGUAGAUAUUCGCAAGAACACCAGUGGCGAAGGCGGCUCACUGGCCCGAUACUGACGCUGAGGUGCGAAAGCGUGGGGAGCAAACAGGG
rnacentral:rRNA from 1 species